rnacentral:tRNA from 1 species
AUCCCCGUAGCUCAGUUGGUAGAGCAUGGUUUUUGCAACGCAUGGUGUUUGCAACGCCAGGGUUGUGGGUUCGAUUCCCACAGGGGUCC